UACGGGGGGGGCAAGCGUUUGUUCGGAAUUACUGGGCGUAAAGGCUCGUAGGUGGCCAACUAAGUCAUACGUGAAAUCCCUCGGCUUAACCGGGGAACUGCGUCUGAUACUGGAUGGCUUGAGGUUGGGAGAGGGAUGCGGAAUUCCAGGUGUAGCGGUGAAAUGCGUAGAUAUCUGGAGGAACACCGGUGGCGAAGGCGGCAUCCUGGACCAAUUCUGACACUGAGGAGCGAAAGCCAGGGGAGCAAACGGG
rnacentral:rRNA from 1 species